UGUCUUCACCCAGCCCAACAGAGAAGAAGGCUCGUGACUGUGUAAGGAGGUGCCCAUAGCUGAUGGCCACAAGCCAUCUCAGCAGCAGCAUAUUUUCAAGCAGAAGUUGUAGCACAAUCUAAAGUGCUUUCAUGGGGACGAUGGGUCAGAAUAUUUGGCAGUAAGAUGCACAUAACAGAGAUUUGAUUCAGUUCAAGACAUUCAAGGAGAUAAUUCUCUUCUCAUAAGGUUGAA
rnacentral:lncRNA from 1 species